UACGGAGGGGGCAAGCGUUAUUCGGAAUUAUUGGGCGUAAAGGGCGCGUAGGCGGCUCGAUAAGUCAAAGGUGAAAUCCCUCGGCUCAACUGAGGAACUGCCUUUGAAACUGUAGAGCUUGAGUCCGGGAGGGGGUAGCGGAAUUCCCAGUGUAGCGGUGAAAUGCGUAGAUAUGCGGAGGAACACCGAUGGCGAAGGCAAUCCCCUGGACCUGUACUGACGCUCAUGCACGAAAGCGUGGGGAGCAAACAGG
rnacentral:rRNA from 1 species